rnacentral:rRNA from 1 species
AUGGGGCGGCUGGGGAAGUUCGAGAUAAAGCGGAUCGACGACGCGACCAGCAGGCAGGUGUGCUACUCCAAGCGGCGGUCGGGGAUCAUGAAGAAGGCGCGGGAGCUCGCCGUGCUCUGCGACGCCCAGGUCGCCGUCAUCGUGCUCUCCUCCUCCGGCAAGCACCACCACUUCUGCAGCGACGGCGCCGACAUCAAGGGGGUCUUCGACCGCUACCAGCAGGCCACCGGGACCAGCCUGUGGACCGAGCAGUAUGAGAAUAUGCAGCGCACCCUGAGCCAGCUCAAGGACAUCAACCGGAACCUGCGCACCGAGAUCAGGCAAAGGAUGGGUGAGGAUCUGGACGCGCUGGAGUUCCAGGAGCUGCGCGGGCUCGAGCAAAAUGUCGGCGCCGCUCUCGAGGUGGUUCGCCAGAGGAAGUAUCAUGUGAUCACCAGGCAGACUGAAACCUACAAGAAGAAGGUGAAGCACUCCGAGGAGGUGUACAAGAAACUGAAGCAGGAGCUGAGCAUGCGCGAGGACCCGGCGUUCGGGUUCAUGGACAACCCGGUGAUGGGCGGGUGGGACGGCGUGGCGGCGGUGGAGAUGGGCGGCGACGGCUCGGAGGCGGACAUGUACGCCUUCCACGCGGUGUCCAGCCAGCUCGAUCUGCACGGCAUGGCCUACGGCAGCUCCCACUGCCCGCUCUUCGGUUAA